rnacentral:rRNA from 1 species
UACGGGAGGCAGCAGUGGGGAAUAUUGCACAAUGGGCGAAAGCCUGAUGCAGCUAUGCCGCGUGUAUGAAGAAGGCCUUAGGGUUGUAAAGUACUUUCAUCGGGGAGGAAAAACAAAACUAAUAAUUUUAUUUCUUGACGUUACCCGAAAAAGAAGCACCGGCUAACUCCGUGCCAGCAGCCGCGGUAAUACGGAGGGUGCUAGCGUUAAUCAGAAUUACUGGGCGUAAAGAGCACGUAGGUGGUUUUUUUAAGUCAGAUGUGAAAUCCCUGGGCUUAACCUAGGAACUGCAUUUUGAAACUGAAAUACUAGAGUAUCGUAGAGGGAGGUAGAAUUCUAGGUGUAGCGGUGAAAUGCGUAGAUAUCUGGAGGAAUACCUGUGGCGAAAGCGGCCUCCUAAACGAAUACUGACACUGAGGUGCGAAAGCGUGGGGAGCAAACAGGGAUUAGAUAC